rnacentral:tRNA from 1 species
GUCUGGGUGGCUCAGUCAGUUUUAGCAUCUGACUUCGGCUCAGGUCAUGAUCUUGUGAUUUAUGGGUUUGAGUCCCAUGUCAGGCU